rnacentral:rRNA from 1 species
AUUGAACGCUGGCGGCAGGCCUAACACAUGCAAGUCGAGCGGAUGAAGAGAGCUUGCUCUCUGAUUUAGCGGCGGACGGGUGAGUAAUGCCUGGGGAUCUGCCCAGUCGAGGGGGAUAACUACUGGAAACGGUAGCUAAUACCGCAUACGCCCUACGGGGGAAAGCAGGGGACCUUCGGGCCUUGCGCGAUUGGAUGAACCCAGGUGGGAUUAGCUAGUUGGUGAGGUAAUGGCUCACCAAGGCGACGAUCCCUAGCUGGUCUGAGAGGAUGCACAGCCACACUGGAGCUGGGACACGGCCCAGACUCCAACGGGAGGGAGCAGUGGGGAAUAUUGAACAAAGGGGGAAACCCUGAUGCAGCCAUGCCGCGUGUGUGAAGAAGGCCUUCGGGUUGUAAAGCACUUUCAGCAAGGAGGAAAGGUUGGUAGCUAAUAACUGCCAGCUGUGACGUUACUCGCAGAAGAAGCACCGGCUAACUCCGUGCCAGCAGCCGCCGUAACAC